AACCUUUCCAGCUCGGUUACAAAAAUGGCGUAGUCGGCAGGAUGUCAUAAAAGACAUCCUUAUUUGUGACACAUUUGAUCAAAUAUAAACGACAGUCAUUAUUAUCAUCAUCAUCAUCAUCAUCUUCGAUGACAACCUUCUUGAGAGAAGCGUCUUUCAUCAGAAGGGUGGUUUGCUGCAGCAGUGCGUUUUACAUCAUCUAGUCUCCGGACAGACAGCUGCCCAGAUGUUCGUCGGAAGUGAGAGUAUUUUUAUACGUAGCUACACACAUCUUCCCCACAGUUUGGCACCGUCGUCUGGGACAGAUUGGAGAGCCAUUCUUCACAUUACCUGUUUUUCAGCCGAGCGGCCGUGGAGUGUGCUGCUAGUAUUCAGCUACGGAACUCUUUCACUGAUGGUGAACUGUAAACAUAUUCACUGGGAACAGUGUCGUGCAGUCAAGAUUUUUAACAUUUUAAUAUUGCAUAUUCAUUUGUAUUUUAACUUGUAGCCAUUGAGCAUGUCGUUUUGACAAUGGAAGUUUUGCAUGUUAGAAACAGCUUUAUCACAUACAUAGAACAGAUUGAUUGUUUGAUUGGUCCGAUUGAAGAUCAGCUAUUUUCGUAAAAUCAAGUUUGCCUUGGAGUCGACGUUAUAGAUAUUUCACAUUUGAGUAUAUACUCGUAUAUUGUGUGAAUAUUUUAGUAACACCGUGGUAGUUUAUUUCUUUUUAUAUCUGCAGGUUUAAGCUUUCCAGGGACAGUUCUGGCUUCUGUACCUCAUGCUCUGCUCCCUGCCCUGCUAUCUUCACUGCAGUUACUACCCGCUUGUUGCUCAGUCUCUCGUAUCCGCGAACCGCUGUAGCAUAUCGUAUCUGUUUCUUUACUGACGCUGCGUAGAAUACGUGUUAAGGUAAUGCAUGCUAAUUGCUUGCUCAUGCUGCCUGUACUUGUAUUGUCCGUGUAUUGAUUUUUUCACAUAACUAGUUUGUAGUCUCUGGUUGAAACAUAUUGAAUUCAUAGUCGCAGAAAGUAGAGUAUUUGCUCUAGAUUUGAGACUUUUGGAGGAAUGACACCUGUACAUUUAAAACCCAGGAUAGAUCUAAUGCAGACCCUGUAUGUCAUUCUUGAACUGUACAGUCCUUUUAUCCGUAUUGAUAGUAGCCAGUAUUUGGUAAAUUUUAUUCUCUUCAUGUCCUAAUUUCGUUUUAACCACUAUAUGUUGGGAUUAGCUAACCCAACGUGGAUAAAUAAACAUGUUUAGGUUGGGGAUGAAAGAGGCCCUGUAAGUAUAUGUUGAGGAUUUUCUUUUUAAAAUACAUGUAGGUGUUAGCCAGAUGCUUGGAUUUUUUUAUAGUGAAGGAUAGUGUAGUAUAUGAUCAUCUUGAGAAAUUAGGUUUCUUGGACCAAUUGAGAUAAAUGUAAUCUCUAUUUCUCUAGCGACAUGCUAGAGAUGGGCCAUAUUUUUACCAUUUUCUCUAUCCCACCAUUCCACACUAUCUUGCCAUUUUAAUUAAUACUGAUAUUAUGGAUGUUUUUUUAGGGAAUGUUUUAUUUUGAGAAACAGAUAGCCAGAUUUUCAUUUAGUUAGGGCUUUCGUAUGUCUGAUCAUUGGCCAAAUUGGGAGUUUUAGAUUUAAGGUCCAUUGAGGUCAUCUCAUUUCACUAGUCAUAUACUAGUGGUGGACAUUCUUUUAUCGUGCUCUCGACCAUGUGUACAUAUCAUAGUCCAACUUCAUUCUGAAGAACUGGUGAAGGAUUUUUUUUAAGUAAACAUUUCCUGUCCACUGUCUCACUCAGUCUAGAGCUGCCAAGAUAAUUUUUUUGUCUUUUGAGAAUAUUUUUCAUUACACAAUUUUUAAUCCCGGAUGAUUGUGACCGGCCAGACUUAAAUUCCUGUAAUCAUGCUGCCAGGUCCCGUCUGUAAAAUAUUUCUUUGUCGAUGUCUAAUAUUUUUAGCAUAAACAGCGAUGCGAAAGUCGUCGAAGCAUUGCGAGUGCCCUCUUGUGUUUUCCGUUGAAUAGAGCAUACCGAGUUGCGUAACAAUUUGCAUAUGACAUGCAGUGCGAAAAAGUCUUUUAUUCCGUGCAGUGUUUCAAAAGCAUAGGGCUUCGGACGCACAUUCCGUGAAUUUUUCGCUAGUUUUCUUGGAGAGUAAGCAAGCAUGGGUAGGUCACUUGACUGCUUGUCGUUGCUGCUGCCAGCCACACCUUAUUGCGAGCCAGCUUGUCUAUAUUUUGCUGUGUUUCUCACGUGGUUUUGCCAUGGUUAGCACGCCGCAUGUGCAUACACAUAUCAUGUACAUGCAUAUCGUGUAGUUUGCCCAAACAUCCCGAGGCAUAGGUACACAGGCCACAACUGCUCCGCUACUGCUUGUGGUUCUGUGGUUCCUGAGUGGUCACAAAUAGAGAAGCCUUCUCGAGUAGACCAGUGUAUCCCAUAUCCAGCAUCCAUAAUAUUUGGGUACGUGUGUAAAACAUUAUUGCUUGAAAUGUGCCUUGGAAAUUGGAGAUUUGGAGAUUUGGAGAUUUGGAGAUUAAUGUGUUGUAAAAUUAUUGCAUAGCAAGUGCUUAUGGAGAUUAUUUCUCCUUGAUUAAAUUUUUAUGCCUUUAAUAUUUUUAUGCCUCUCUAAGAAAUGUACUUGUAAAUUCGCAGCAAAAACAUUUCUAUGGAACAAAUCAAUGGAAAUUGAGG